rnacentral:hammerhead_ribozyme from 1 species
AUCAAGCUGACGAGUCUCAAAUAGGACGAAACGCGCAUCCUGAAU